GGCUGAUAACAUUUCCGAGUAGUUCUGAGAACUGUCUCAUUGACACUUUAUGGAUAUCUAAAGUGUUUUUUUUUUUUUAAUUAAAAUGGGAAACAUAUCUAAUUAUCGUUGUGUUUCGAACAGUUCCACUAACAUUUAGAGGUCCUAAACCAUCAAACUCCAAUAAUUUCUAAACGGUUGAAGUUUGAAAGCAAAAAAUACAAGUGUUGAAAGAUACCAGAAAAGUGAGUGCCGCACAUCAGUGUGCAAACCUCCAGUAUAUGGGGGCUAUUCCAAUUAAGUGUUGAGAAUAACGCCCGUACAGAUUUAACACUCUGAGCGCUGUGUGUGUUGUGGGCAGCCGUGCCGACCCCUGGACUUGCCGUGGUAGUUGUGCUACCACUGGUCAAUGUCCAGGGGACGACAGUGUGUCACGCACACUGUCGUACGCACACUAAGCGCGGGCCGCUUAGUGUGUGUUGUGCGCUCGGACAAGCAAGUGUUGCGAGCAGCCGGUCGAGCAGGGCUCCCGGCAGGGCACGGUACGGCUGGCGCGCGGCCGAGUAUUUUAUUGUGUAUUGUGCUUGUCAGUGUUAUUUAUUAUGUGUACUGUAAUAUUAGUGUUUUAAUAAAGUACCUGAGAGCAAGCCAAAGACACAACAGUGGCGACGAGGAUGGGAUCCUCUUGCGUAAGGAGGAUCCCUAGAAGAACCCGCGGUCACCAUCGCGAUCGAGCGCGUCGGUUGGAGCCGGCGCCAUCGCGAUGGCACGGGUCCCCGCGACAGUGGGACGCCGUUCGACAAGGACCGCUGCCGCCGCCGCCGUUAAGACCGUGGCCCCGGCUGUCGUCCCGCGAUGGGGACAGAAGGGACAGCCGCACACACACACACUCGGCGAUGUUUGAUUCGCCGGGCUGCAGGCCCAGGGAGCGCCGGCAAUGGAAAGGUCGAAGCCUGAUUGCCGGGCCAUCUGCGGCGACGCUAGGUGUCGUCGGGCUGCAGCCCAAGGAGCGCCGGCAGUGUAAGAGGCGAAUUGUCUUUCUGCCUAGCUGCCGGGCCAUCAUUGGUGACGCGAGAGGUCACUGAGUUGCUGCCGCUGUGUUCGACGGAGAGGGGGCGAGAUGCCAUGCCCCGCUGCAGCCGUCGUGUUGGACGGAGAGGAGGGCGAGGUUCCAUGCCGCCCCGCUGCAGCCGUCGUAGACCAGUGAGAGGGGGCGAGGUUCCAUGCCGCCCCGCUGCAGCCGUCGUAGAACAGUGAGAGGGGGCGAUGUCGCAUGCCGCCCCGCUACUGCUGUUGCGUUCAACGGAGAGGGGGCGAGGUCCCAUGCCGCCCCGCUGCUGCCGUUGUGUCGACGGAGAGGGGGCGAGGUUCCAUGCCGCCCCGCUGCUGCCGUUAUGUUCGACGGAGAGGGGGCGAGGUCCAAUGCCGCCCCGCUGCAGCCGUUGUGUAAACGGAGAGGGGCGAGGUUUCAUGUCGCCCCGCUGCAGCCGUCGUGUUUGACGGAGAGGAGGGCGAGGUCCAAUGCCGCCCCGAUGCAGCAAUAGUGUCAACGGAGAGGGGGCGAGGUCCCAUGCCGCCCCGCUGCUGCCGUUUUUAUUCGUCAGAGAGAGGGGGUGGUCGCAUUCC